rnacentral:tRNA from 1 species
GGCUUAAUAGCUCAGUGGCAGAGCACCGGUUUUGUAAACCGACGGCCGGGGGUUCAAAUCCCUCUUAAGCCU